UACAGAGGGUGCGAGCGUUGUCCGGAAUCACUGGGCGUAAAGGGCGCGUAGGUGGUGGCUUAAGCGUGCGGUGAAAGCUCGGGGCUCAACCCCGAGUCGGCCGUGCGAACUGGGCCUCACGUGGCAUAGUAGAGGCAGGUGGAAUUCCGGGUGUAGCGGUGGAAUGCGUAGAGAUCCGGAAGAACACCGGAGGCGAAGGCGGCUUGCUGGGCUGACACUGACGCUCAUGCACGAAAGCGUGGGGAGCGAACAAGG
rnacentral:rRNA from 1 species